AUCAACUUUCGAUGGUAGGAUAGAGGCCUACCAUGGUGGUAACGGGUAACGGGGUGUUAGGGCACGACACCGGAGAGGGAGCCUGAGAAACGGCUACCACAUCCAAGGAUGGCAGCAGGCGCGCAAAUUACCCAAUCCCGACACGGGGAGGUAGUGACAAUAAAUAACAAUACGGGGUUCUUUAGGAUCUCGUAAUUGGAAUGAGUACAAUUUAAAUCUCUUAACGAGGAACAAUUGGAGGGCAAGUCUGGUGCCAGCAGCCGCGGUAAUUCCAGCUCCAAUAGCGUAUAUUAAAGUUGUUGCAGUUAAAAAGCUCGUAGUUGAAUUUCGGGGUUAGUAAGUUGGUCAUGCCUUCGGUAUGUACUGGCUUCACUGAUUCCUCCUUCUUGACGAACCGUGAUGUCAUUAAUUUGGUGUUGCGGGAAAUCAGGACUGUUACUUUGAAAAAAUUAGAGUGUUUAAAGCAGGCUAACGCUUGAAUACAUUAGCAUGGAAUAAUGAAAUAGGACGUUAAUCCUAUUUUGUUGGUUUCUAGGAUCGACGUAAUGAUUAAUAGGGAUAGUUGGGGGCAUUAGUAUUCAAUUGUCAGAGGUGAAAUUCUUGGAUUUAUUGAAGACUAACUACUGCGAAAGCAUUUGCCAAGGAUGUUUUCAUUAAUCAAGAACGAAAGUUAGGGGAUCGAAGACGAUCAGAUACCGUCGUAGUCUUAACCAUAAACUAUGCCGACUAGGGAUCGGAUGAUGUUAAUUUUUUAAUGACUCAUUCGGCGCCUUACGGGAAACCAAAGUGUUUGGGUUC
rnacentral:rRNA from 1 species